AUCCCUGUGGCUCAGUUGAUAGAGCAUGGUGUUUGCAACGCCAGCAUGUUGUGUGCAAUGCCAGGGUUGUGGGUUCGAUUCCCACGGGGGGCC
rfam:Salmo salar isolate Sally breed double haploid chromosome ssa19, whole genome shotgun sequence.